rnacentral:rRNA from 1 species
UACGGGGGGAGCAAGCGUUGUUCGGAUUUACUGGGCGUAAAGGGCGCGUAGGCGGCGCAACAAGUCACUUGUGAAAUCUCCGGGCUUAACCCGGAGCGGCCAAGUGAUACUGUCGUGCUAGAGUGCGGGAAGGGGCUACUGGAAUUCUCGGUGUAGCGGUGAAAUGCGUAGAUAUCGAGAGGAACACCUGCGGCGAAGGCGGGUAGCUGGGCCGACACUGACGCUGAGGCGCGAAAGCCAGGGGAGCGAACGGG